UACGGGGGGGGCAAGCGUUGUUCGGAAUUACUGGGCGUAAAGGGCUCGUAGGCGGCCAACUAAGUCGGACGUGAAAUCCCCAGGCUCAACCUGGGAACUGCGUCUGAUACUGGAUGGCUUGAAUCCGGGAGAGGGAUGCAGAAUUCCAGGUGUAGCGGUGAAAUGCGUAAAUAUCUGGAGGAAUACCGGUGGCGAAGGCGGCAUCCUGGACCGGCAUUGACGCUGAGGAGCGAAAGCCAGGGGAGCAAACGGG
rnacentral:rRNA from 1 species